CGGCCGGCUAGCGGAGGUAAGAGGAAAGAGAGGGAAAAGUGAAGCACCCGGCUUCCUUAACAUAAUCUCGCGAUACUUUAGAAGAUACGCGGCGGCCGUGGAUGAAGUUUACUUUUAACGGACCAUUGGCGAUGAGGUCUCGAGUGCAGCUCGCGGAAUCUUUUACAGAGUGGGAAAACUCGUUGCUCUCGGAUAGCAAAGCAGUGGAUAGUCUCGAGCCCUUUUUUAGACCCACCUUCAGCUGAAAUAUCUACUCCACUUUGGCCAAGUGUCAAAAGUAGGAUAUGCUGACUGUGUUCAGCAGGUCAGCAGUUCAAAUCUCACCGGCUCAAGGUUGACUCAGCCUUCCAUCCUUCCGAGGUCUGCACUGAGUAAUCUUUCCUGAAACUUCCUCAUUGAUUCUUUGCUAAUUCCUUCUCCAUUACUAAGCCGGAUCUAUAUUCCUUCAUAGAAACAAUCCACAGUCAUGCUUUAUAAAUGAUAAAAAAGAUAUGGGUCUGCCUAUAAUAAUACUUUAUUUCCUUUUAUUUACCUUUACCUUACAUCUCUCUCUCUCCUCCCUCUCUCUCUAGUUUUGAUGGUAAUAAAAAUAUAUUUGAUUUAAUAUUUUGUUUUUGGUUUUUUUUAUAAAUGUUUUAUUGAUUUUCUAAUUUUACAUUUAAGUAUUCAAAAAGCAAAGUGGCGGCUGAGCCAAUCAAUAAUACAAUAACAUACAAAUAUCUUCAGUACAAAUCUCAAGCUACUACAUCAAAUUUUUCCUCUCUUUUCCCCUUAGUAUUCACUGUCUCCUGUCUAAACUAAUACAAUUCUUA